rnacentral:lncRNA from 1 species
UUGUUUGUCUCUUUAACAGCACUGCUGGACGGAAACGAUUCUGCUCAGCUGAAACACUUCGAUAAAGAAACUGGAAGCUCUCUCACAGUCGGAUGUUCCUUUAAACAACCUGGAAACAGAGCGUUGUUCUGCAGGGGAGAAUGUGGAGGAAACAAUACUCUUGUUCAAACAGAUGAUGUCAAAGCUCAAAGAGGCAAAUACAACAUUGGAUAUGCUUCACAUACAGAUCCAGGAGUUCUGUAUGUGAGCAUCACACAGCUGACCAAGUCUGACUCAGGACGGUACAGAUGUUUACUGAGUGGAUCUUCCAGCAGCUCAUUCAGAGAGUUUGAGGUCACUGUCACAGAUGUCAUCCCAUCAUUAACUGGACAGAACCAGUAUGGGCUGUAUGUGGGUCUGACUCUGACUGUCACCAUCAUCCUGGUCUCAGUGUCUGUGCUGAUAUUCUACAAGAAAAGAUCCUCUAAACGAAAAGAUGUUCCUGUGGAAACACAGUAUGCUGAUGUCACAGAGGUGAGUUUAAGGAACUUUUAAUCUUUUAAACUGUUCAAGAGUCCAGUGAAGAAAACUCAAAACAAGAAAGGUUUUAACGUUAACAUCACGAAUUUCUUCACAAAUAAAAUUUUAACCAUUAAAGAAAAAAUUACCAAUAAUCAUCCCACAGAUGUAAUAUUAUCUACAGCUACUUUUAGUACCAUCGAUGUUAAGUUAGACUCUUUUUCUCCAAUUGAUCUUUCUGAGUUAACUUCAAUAAUUACUUCCUCCAAACCAUCAACGUGUCUUUUAGACCCCAUUCCUACAAAACUGCUCAAAGAAGUCCUGCCAUUAAUUAAUGCUUCAAUCUUAAAUAUGAUCAACCUCUCUCUAAUAAUCGGCUAUGUACCACAGGCCUUCAAGCUGGCUGUAGUUAAACCUUUACUUAAAAAGCUAUUUCUUGACCCUACUGUCCAAAUUAAUCAUAGGCCAAUCUCCAACCC